rnacentral:tRNA from 1 species
GGGGAUUUAGCUCAGUGGUAGAGCGCUUGCCUAGUAAGCGCAAGGUUCUGGGUUCAGUCCCCA